rnacentral:lncRNA from 1 species
GAGGUCACUCCUGACUUCAAGGUGAAGAAGGAUAGGAAGUACUGAUAAAUAGUGGUGGUGUCCACCACAGAGGUCAUCUGAGAAUGGGCUGAAGGUCAAGCAUGCUGCACAGGAUCAUUCAGAGGUACAGAGAAACAAGAAGGAUGGCUAGCAAAUGUACAGGUAUCUGUAGCCCUGAGCAGAGGCAUCAUAGGAGCAGCUGACUGCAGAAUGUGGGGCAACCAGAAGAAAGGAGGACUCCUGAGAGAGAGUAGGACUCGAGCUUCCACCAGCCAGAGGAAGAAACGAGAGAGAGGGAGAUUGAGAUUGGUCACCAGGAAGAGUGGGUCCAAGAGAGCACCAUGGGAAGAAACAUCAAAAGCAGAGAGAGUUAGGACAGUUUUAAACUAACACAAUGCAUCUGAGCUUUACUGGGAACACAGGAGGCCUAAUCAAUAAAUGUGAGUAAAGUGCCCUGAUUGGAACCUCAGGCUAAAAGUGGCCACAGGCUCCAGGGACAUUCCUACUACAUAGCAACUACAGCUAUUAUAGCUAUGAAGAGCUCCAUGAAGACUCUUCCAUCAGAGGUAGAUACAAUUCCUAUCUCCUAGCCCCGUCAUUAUACUUUAGAACCAGC